CCCUUAGAUGUCCGGGGCCGCACGCGCGCUACACUGAAGGAAUCAGCGUGGCUUUCUCCCUGACCCGAAAGGGUUGGGAAACCCGUUGAAUCUCCUUCGUGAUAGGGAUUGGGGCUUGAAAUUGUUCCCCAUGAACGAGGAAUUCCCAGUAAGCGCGAGUCAUAAGCUCGCGUUGAUUACGUCCCUGCCCUUUGUACACACCGCCCGUCGCUACUACCGAUUGAACGGUUUAGUGAGAUCUCUGGAUUGACGCUGGCUAGGGGGCGACCCUUGGCCAGACUGCUCGAGAAACUGCUCAAACUUGAUCAUUUAGAGGAAGUAAAAGUCGUAACA
rnacentral:rRNA from 1 species